rnacentral:rRNA from 1 species
UACGUAGGGUGCGAGCGUUAAUCGGAAUUACUGGGCGUAAAGCGUGCGCAGGCGGUUUGUUAAGACAGAUGUGAAAUCCCCGGGCUUAACCUGGGAACUGCAUUUGUGACUGGCAAGCUAGAGUAUGGCAGGGGGGGGUAGAAUUCCACGUGUAGCAGUGAAAUGCGUAGAGAUGUGGAGGAAUACCGAUGGCGAAGGCAGCCCCCUGGGCCAAUACUGACGCUCAUGCACGAAAGCGUGGGGAGCAAACAGG